CACGUAGUUUAAAAGAAUAUAUGUAUUUAUGCCUUGAAAACGAAACCGAAAUUGAAAUAACUUCCACCGACGGGUGUCGCCGCGAUCGCUGCUGAGUCUCGCGGCGGGCCGCCGGGUGCACAUGUGUGUGUUCUCCGUGACAGUCUUGAAGUUGUGAGUAAUUAGAUUGUUUUUCGCUACGUUUAGGUUGCACCACCUCGUUGUUUUCGUGUACUUUCGUGCUCAUCGACGCGAAGGGAGCAUCCGGACUGAAGGCGACGCGAUUAUGCGUGAGAAAGAAAGGCAGUAGCGGCCUACGACAUCGGUGUUUCUUUGUGACAGUGUGUUUACUAUGCCUACGACGGCCGUCAUUCGUGGCCAACGAGAAAACAUCUUCCAUUCGGCCUGACCAGUGAUAAAGUGGACUUUUUUUUUCGGCGGAAUCCAUCGUCAACAUCGUCCAUCCACUACGUAAACGAAAUGGCGUGCCCAGAGUAUACAUCGUGACAGCGCUCCGCCUUCAAACCGAGGGCCUUUUGCAAGGCGCAUGGACGGCUCAUAUAAAAGGUAGAAAACAAGCAGAUGGCUACAGCGAUCAAUGAAGAAAUGGCUUCAUCUAUGAUGGCUCGCCUUAGGACAUUGGAAUGGAGCUACACAAAGGCAUCACCAGCCUCGCCUGUGCCCUGGAACAUUGGUUUGAAUAAGACUGUUCUUCAGUGUAGAACGACCACAAGACUUGUCACCUCAUACAAGGCGUAGUGCAAGCUCUAAAUAUUGUACAGGUGGCUAGAAUAAAUGACCCUCCAUGCAGUCACUCUUCCUGUA